UUAUCGUAACAUGGGUUUUGCACUAUUUUACAUAAAAAAUUCCCAUAGACGUGGGACGCAACCUAUUGACUUUCUGACGCGCCGCUUGUGUUUGGGGAUGAGCGUCGCUCUCUAUAAACACAUAAGCGUAGAGCUUCCCGUCUCCGUUCUGGAAAUUUAACGAAGGACAACAGGAGAUGGUCGGAACAGGCUACCUUUGGAGGAACCAAAACUUGAGCGCCAUUGUAAAGCGUCCAGCUAAAAGCCAUCCCCGCUAAAAUAUAUCAGGUAGCCAUCGGCAUAACAUCUACACCCACGAAGGAUUCUGGUUUUCUUACAGCGAUGCAUGAUGGAAGCUGCAGAAGAGGACAGGGUUCUGAUACUGAUGUGCGAAGCCUUAAUCGUGGAGCACUCCGAAGAACUUUUUUGCUUCUUUACAGCAUAGCAACGAUAUUAGUAACAAAAAUAAUUUUGUGUCCUGAAACUAUUACAAAUUAGGUAUAACAAUAUGCAAACAUUUUGAAAACUUUCUUUGAAAAAAUUCAAAAAAAAGGAGACAAGAAGUGAUUUACUGGUGUAAUUUGGCAUUACGACGGACCAAGACCAUUGCCUCUAAAUAUUAGAAAAAUUAUGCUGAUAAGCGCGGUGUAAAGAUACUUCCGCAAAUAAAAUUAUUAAUUGCACUAGACUUUCGCAGUUUAAAAAAAGUUCCAGAUCUAAACGAUUCUCUGCAGGGUAAUUAGUUAACGAACAAAGACAAACUCGAAGAAAAUUCUGAUGGUCCAUAACUAAAAUAAUUUCGUAACUUUUUUGCAUCAACAUUUCCAAUCGGGACGCAGAUGCAAUCGAUGUGUAGAGAGUGUAUAAAUAGUAUUUUGAAAAUGUUGGAUUAAUUGUAUGAAUCUGGGAAUAAAUAAAAAAUAUACGACAUGACUUGAUUAGGUACCCUUUAGUGAUAUUCUUGUUCCGUCAACACAAGCUGUUGUUUGUUGUAAACUUGUACUGUAAUAGGUAAUAAAUAAAUUUUUACGGGACUGCGUAUUGCACAGAAAAUUUAUUAAUGAAAAAUAUUGAGGAAUGAUUACACAAGUUAUUAGUAAUCUAUUCUCUAUCGCUGCUUCAUGGUAAUGACACCUUGGUCAACGUACUUUCCACAAGAAAUUCGACGUCAGCACUAAAUUUCAAGUGUUGGUUCCAGUAUGCCGCAACCUCCGCGAUUGAGGGAUUCACUUUCCGUCGUCCGGAUCGGGACGAUAUGCCGGUUCUGGAUAUCUCCAGCCGGAAAUUCGCGGACGCGGCUUGGCUGGGGGAAUUAUUUGGUAUAGCGCCAAGCUAAGGACAUGUAGGAGAUCGGCGAAACGGACAGUUUCAUGUUCAUCAGUGAAGACAAUGUAGCCUCGAAGAAGGUGUUCACCAAAGGUGCCGGCGCAG